GCCAGUGCCAGAAGGGCUAUUUCUGCCAGGGUGGAGCCCCAGGUCCAGCUCCUCAGAGCUCAGCCUCCUUCCCCGGGAAUGGGCCCUGCCCCGUGGGGCACUAUUGUCUCCCAGGAACCCUCUCCCCUCUGCCAUGUCCAGCAGGCAGCAUCCGAAACCACACCGGUAUCAACAUCACAUUUAUUCUGGCUGCGAUUUAACCAGCGCAGAUUAACAAGCCUUCUACUCCACUUCACUUUGAGGGUUACGUAUCCAACCCUGACAUCACAACCUCAGUGCACAUCUGGGAAUUGCAGGUUGUUAGUCUGUGUUGAUUGAGUCCCAGCUUUCCUUUGUGGUGUUUUUGUGUUAGCCACGUUAAGUGGAAACAAUGAAGCGGCGGACACACACACACACACACACACAUACCGUGCAUGGUUGCCCUGUAGUGGAGCAUGACACGUGUUCCUAAAAAUAAAACAGUGUUGCCUUUAUCCAGUCAACAGUGAUCAGAACGCUCCCUGGCUCUUGGCGGCUGAUCCGUCCUAUCUGAUCUGAAGAACACUGAAUUCAUGUGCAUGUCUUCUUCUUCCUGUUCUCCAACAGGUGGGUCGUCCAUAGACAGCUGCUUCCCUUGUCCCCCGGGACACUUCUGCUCCAGUGAGGGCCUGGCCUCACCCACGGGCCUCUGUGCACCUGGUUUCUACUGCCCAUUUGACUUCUCCUCCACCACGCCCUUUGCCUUCCUGUGCCCUAAGGGUCACUACUGUCCAGGCGGCUCUCCCCUGGCCCUGCCCUGCCCUACGGGGGAGUACCAGCCCAACCCAGGCUCUGAGUCCUGCAUCCCCUGCCGCCCAGGCUUCUACUGUGAAGAGGCCAUCGUGGGAGAGCCCAGGCCCUGUCCCCCUCAUUCCUACUGCCCAGCAGGAUUCUACUGCCCGGAAGGCACGGAGAAGGCAGAAGUCUGCCCUGACAACACCAUCAGGGUCUCUCCCGGAGGCGCCACCAUCGACGAUUGCCUUCCAUGUCCGCCACAGCAUUGGUGCAAGCGAGGUAGGAGUGACGACACGGCAUGCAGAAUCCUUUUUUGGGCGGAAACCAACAGGUUGACUAUUCCCCCGAACUCCUCCGAAGGUGACCCGGUCCUGCACCUGUGUCCCGCUGGCCACUACUGCGAUGGGCUGUCUGCUGGCGACUACGGUGAAGGGGGCGGACCCAGAGAAUGUCCGUCAUUCACCUACAGAUCCGCCCCCGGCGCCGGCAGCAGGGGGGACUGUCACCCCUGUCCCCCUGGAACCUACUGUACCUCUACAGGUCAGGCUGAACCUUCUUACCUACCCUGGGCAGCGGAGGUCUGUUGUCUCCUAGAGCGAGCCACCGAAACUCUGAACUGCUCAACGAUACGGCACCAGGCUAUGUCUCUCUGUCGGCGCCUUUUGAAAGGGCACGGGAAGCGUCUGUGGACGCUGGCUAGUCAGUUUUGUCAGUUUCGUUGCGUCUGA
rnacentral:lncRNA from 1 species